rnacentral:rRNA from 1 species
AAAUUGAAGAGUUUGAUCAUGGCUCAGAUUGAACGUUGGCGGCAGGCCUAAUACAUGCAAGUCGAACGGUAACAGAUCUAGCUUGCUAGAUGCUGACGAGCGGCGGACGGGUGAGUAACGCGUAGGAAUCUAUCCAGUAGCGGGGGAUAGCCCGGGGAAACCCGG